GCAAGAUUUCAAUUUAACUUUAUCAAGAUUUAAAGAACAUUACAAGAUAUGGGUUAACUACAAACUAUAGAAUUAUAAUAUUGUCAGUUUUAUGUAUGUUUUUUUUUAAUUUCAAGUUAGUAUCGAUCAAUAUAAAUAAAACAUUGUAAACGUGAAUGCGCAGUUAUGAAUCACAAAAUAUGGCUGCCAGGUCGUGUGGUAUGCGCUCUGGACUGUCGUUCAGUGGACA